rnacentral:lncRNA from 1 species
AGUUAUUGACUGGAAAUAUAUAGUUAGGAUUACCAGGAGUCCAAUUAAAGCUUUUGGUAAUAAAUUUAAAUAAAAUUAGCACAGUUGUGUACUUUUUUCUGCCUCCAGAGAUGAAGCAGAGUUGGAUAUAACCUUGGUGAGCUUACUAGGUGAUACUUAUCCUGGGAUGCUUAUAUAAUGGAACAGUGAUACUCUUAAAACUGGAGAACUGGAGUCAAGCAGCAACAGGAAGAUACAAGAAUGACACCUAUACACUUCUGAGACCAUGGAGAAAGAAAGAGGCAGCCACCAUCCUGGAGAAGCAGUAUCUUCAGUGGGCAGACACCUGGUAUACCAGGUCUUCUGUGCCCAGAAUCUACUGCCUCCACCUGUCCUUCAGAUAUCAGUGUCCUGUAGAAGACACAGAGCUGGAGCUGGAUCCAAGGAGUGUAUGCUUAUUUGACUAUUCUGGAAAGUCACUUAAAUGAUCCUGGAUUAUGAGAAUUCUCAUUUCUUAAUAUUGGGCAAUAAGUGUUAACUCAUCAACCACAAUUAAGAGAAGAUUCACUGGGCAAAGACAUAUUGAAAACUUUCAUUGAAAACUUUCAACUUUGUAUACAAAUUGAGAGGAAUUAUUACCCUUAAUGCUCAUCUUUUUCACAUAGCUUUAACUAGGGCUCUUCAGUAACUGGUUCAACCCACAUUUAUCCCUCUCUCUGAGAAUCUUCUACUCAGUUGGAUCUUACCACACUUCUACAUGUGCUUACUUGAAAUACUUCAUGAGAAUGACCCAUGUGCAGCUGAGAAGAAUGUGUAUUCUGAUUUUGUGGGGUGGAACACUCUGUAAACAUAUGUUAAGUUCAUUUGUUCAAGAGUUCGACUGAGUUCUAGUAUUUCAUUACUUAUUUUUAGUCUAGUUGAUCUAUCCAUUUGUGACAGUGGGGUGUUGAGGUCCCCCACUACAAUUGUAUUAGUGCAUAUAUGAC